rnacentral:rRNA from 1 species
UACGGAGGUGGCAAGCGUUGUUCGGAAUCACUGGGCGUAAAGGGCGCGUAGGCGGGGUCGGAAGUCGGGUGUGAAAGCCCCGGGCUCAACCCGGGAACGGCGCUCGAGACUCCGGCUCUUGAGUCCCGGAGAGGCGGGUGGAAUUCCUGGUGUAGCGGUGAAAUGUGUAGAGAUCAGGAGGAACACCGGUGGCGUAGGCGGCCCGCUGGACGGAGACUGACGCUGAGGCGCGAAAGCUAGGGGAGCGAACGGG